rnacentral:lncRNA from 1 species
CACACCAUUAUAUUUUAAUUAACAAUUGUACUCGGAAUGUCUUCAUUGUUUUUUUAGAUUCACCCAGAUCUACACUGACUGUGACUCCAGACAGUCCUGUAUUCACUGAAGAGACAUUCAAUCUGACCUGUGUGAUUGAGACUCACAGUGAGUGGAAAUGGAGAAAUGGCCUGAAAUAUGAUAGGAAAUAUGACUGGACAUAUGACUGGAGAUAUGAGUGGUAUAAAGACACAUACAGCAGUGUAAUGCUAAACACGUCUGAUCGUUACACUGUAAAUGGAGACACUCUCACUAUCAGAGGAGCGAAUGAGUCUGAUCAGGAUCAGUACUGGUGUAGAGGACGGAGAGAUGAGAGACCAACAUCAUCACAUCUAAGCUCUGCUGUUAAUCUCACUGUGAUAGAUUUACACAGAACUGUGCUAACCAUGAUGCCAGACAGUCCUGUGUUCACUGGAGAGACAGUCAAUCUGACGUGUGGGAUAAAGUCUAAUCACAGUAACUGGACAGAGUGGACAAAUAACUUGAGAUAUGAGUGGUAUAAAUACACAUACAGUGUAAAGUUAAACACAUCUGAUCAUUACACUGUAAACGGAGACACUCUCACUAUCAGAGGAGUGAAUGAGUCUGAUCAGGAUUAUUACUGGUGUAGAGGACAAAGAGAUGGAGAACCAUCAAGACCACCGAAUACAUCUGUUUAUCUCUAUGUGAUGGGUGAGUUAAAUAUCAUUAUGCUUCUAAACUUUCUACCGCAUGUCCUGUAUGAAUACAAAUCCAGUCAAGUAACUGAAAUUGAAAUACAGUGCAAUAUGAGCAGAUCUUAAUCUAAUACCGCGAUCAACACUUUCUGUUCAUUUUCACUUUGUUAGCAGCAGACAUGUUUGUUUGUGCAGGAACGUUUUUUGCCCAAUUUAGUGGCAUUUUUGCCAUAAAAUAAUUUCAUCAAGUUUUUUAGGUCAUUUAACGUUUAUUUUAGCUAUAUGGACACUUAGUUUUUCUUGUUUUUUUUUUUUUCUUUUAUUU